GUUCCAGUAGUAUUAUCCGACCAGGCUGGGUGACUGUUCUGAGGUUUCAGUAGUAGUAUUAUCCAACCAGGCUGGGUGACUGUUCUGAGGUUUCAGUAGUAGUAUUAUCCAACCAGGCUGGGUGACUGUUCUGAGGUUUCAGUGGUAGUAUUAUCCAACCAGGCUGGGUGACUGUUGUGAGGUUUCAGUGGUAGUAUUAUCCAACCAGGCUGGGUGACAGUUCUGAGGUUUCAGUGGUAGUAUUAUCCAACCAGGCUGGGUGACUGUUCUGAGGUUUCAGUAGUAGUAUUAUCCAACCAGGCUGGGUGACUGUUCUGAGGUUUCAGUAGUAGUAUUGGAUGAAGACCACUAGGGGGCAGAGUUGUUCCAGAUCAGUAACCCAACCCCAAGCUCCUGUCAUAUCAUGUUGUAAGAUGUUCUCAUCCUCAACAGCCUCCCUCCUCUCUCCUCUCUCUCGUCACAACCCCUAGCUGAUAUAGAGCUAGACGUCAUCAACUAGAUCAUCCACCGUGUAUAUAGAGCUAGACGUUCCCCAACUAGAUCAUCCACCUAGCUAUAGAGCUAGACGUUCCUCAACUAGAUCAUCC
rnacentral:lncRNA from 1 species